rnacentral:rRNA from 1 species
GUCUUUUUGAUUAUAAUUUAAAGUCUAACCUGCCCAAUGAGUAGUUAAAUGGCCGCGGUAAUUUGACCGUGCAAAGGUAGCAUAAUCAUUAGUUUUUUAAUUGAAAGCUGGAAUGAACGGUUGGACGAGAAAAUAACUGUCUCAAUUUAAUUGAAUAUAGAAUUUUAUUUAUAAGUAAAAAAGCUUAUAUGAUUUUAAAAGACGAGAAGACCCUAUAGAAUUUUAUAUUUUAUUAUAUUGAUUAGGUUUAGUAUGAUUACAUUUUUAAUAUAAUAAUAUGUUUUGCUGGGGCAGCAGAAAAAUUGGACAAACUUUUUUUAUUAGUAAUACAUUGAUUUAUGAUUUAAUGAUCCAUUAUUUAUGAUUAUAAGAUUAAAUUACCUUAGGGAUAACAGCGUAAUUUUUUUUUAGAGUUCUUAUCGAAAAAAGAGUUUGCGACCUCGAUGUUGGAUUAAAAUUAACUUUUGGUGCAGGGGCUAAAGGGUUAGGUCUGUUCGACCUUUAAAAUUUUACA